rnacentral:sRNA from 1 species
GACUGAAUUACAUAAGGAUUCAUUUGAAGGCCUGCUAUCCCUCCAGUAUUUAGAUUUAUCCUGCAAUAAAAUACGGUAUAUUGAAAGACAUACAUUUGAAUCACUACCAUUUUUGCAGUAUAUAAAUCUGGGUUGCAAUUUAAUUACGGAACUGAGCUUUGGAACAUUUCAGGCCUGGCACGGAAUGCAGUUUUUACACAACUUAAUUCUCAGUCGCAAUCCUCUGACUGCUGUCGAAGAUCCAUAUCUCUUUGAACUGCCGGCAUUAAAAUAUCUAGACAUGGGAACAACGCACAUCACACUUACAACACUUAAGAACAUUCUCAUGAUGACUGUUGAACUGGAAAAACUGAUCUUACCUAGCCAUAUGGCCUGCUGCCUCUGCCAAUUUAAAAAUAGCAUUGAGACUGUCUGCAAGACAGUCACGCUGCAUUGCAACACUGCAUGUCUGACUAACAGCGUACAUUGUCCUGAAGAAGCAUCUGUAGGGAAUCCAGAAGGAGCGUUCAUGAAGGUGUUACAAGCCCGGAAGCAGCACACGAGCACUAAGCUGACUAUUGAGUCGGAGGCGCCCUCAGACAGCAGUGGCAUCAAGUUGUCAGGCUUUGGGAGUGAGCAGCUAGACAUCAAUGAUGAGAGUGAUGUUAUCAGUGCACUAAGUUACAUCUUGCCUUAUUUCUCAGCAGGAAAUCUAGGUGGGGAAUCAAUAUUGUUACCGUUCGCCAAACUGC